GAGUUUGAUCCUGGCUCAGGACGAACGCUGGCGGCACGCCUAACACAUGCAAGUCGAACGGAGAUAUUUUGGUUUACUGAGAUAUCUUAGUGGCGGACGGGUGAGUAACACGUGAGCAACCUGCCUYUGAGGGAGGGAUAGCUUCUGGAAACGGAUGGUAAUACCUCAUAACAUAACGAAGCCGCAUGACUUUGUUAUCAAAGAUUUAUCACUCAGAGAUGGGCUCGCGUCUGAUUAAAUAGUUGGUGAGGUAACGGCUCACCAAGUCGACGAUCAGUAGCCGGACUGAGAGGUUGAACGGCCACAUUGGGACUGAGACACGGCCCAGACUCCUACGGGAGGCAGCAGUGGGGAAUAUUGCACAAUGGGGGAAACCCUGAUGCAGCGAUGCCGCGUGGAGGAAGAAGGUUUUCGGAUUGUAAACUCCUGUCUAAAGGACGAUAAUGACGUACUAGAGAGRUCCC
rnacentral:rRNA from 1 species